UACGUAGGGUGCGAGCGUUGUCCGGAAUUACUGGGCGUAAAGGGCGCGUAGGCGGCCUUCUAAGUCGAACGUGAAAUCCCCGGGCUCAACCCGGGAACUGCGUCCGAUACUGGAAGGCUUGAAUUCGGGAGAGGGAUGCGGAAUUCCAGGUGUAGCGGUGAAAUGCGUAGAUAUCUGGAGGAACACCGGUGGCGAAGGCGGCAUCCUGGACCGGCAUUGACGCUGAGGCGCGAAAGCCAGGGGAGCAAACGGG
rnacentral:rRNA from 1 species